GAUGAACGCUGGCGGCGUGCCUAAUACAUGCAAGUCGAGCGAACGGACGAGAAGCUUGCUUCUCUGAUGUUAGCGGCGGACGGGUGAGUAACACGUGUAUAACCUACCUAUAAGACUGGUAUAACUUCGGGAAACCGGAGCUAAUACCGGAUAAUAUUUUGAACCGCAUGGUUCAAAAGUGAAAGACGGUCUUGCUGUCACUUAUAGAUGGAUCCGCGCUGCAUUAGCUAGUUGGUAAGGUAACGGCUUACCAAGGCAACGAUGCAUAGCCGACCUGAGAGGGUGAUCGGCCACACUGGAACUGAGACACGGUCCAGACUCCUACGGGAGGCAGCAGUAGGGAAUCUUCCGCCAUGGGCGAAAGACUGACGGAGCAAGGCCGAGUGAGUGAUGAAGGUCUUCGGAUCGUAAAACUCUGUUAUUAGGGAAGAACAUAUGUGUAAGUAACUGUGCACAUCUUGACGGUAACUAAUCAGAAAGCCACGGCUAACUACGUGC
rnacentral:rRNA from 1 species